rnacentral:rRNA from 1 species
GACGAACCGUCCGAACGUUAUUCGGUAUCACUGGGCUUAAAGCGUGCGUAGGCGGCCUGGUAGGUGAGAUGUGAAAGCCCACGGCUCAACCGUGGAAUUGCGUUUCAAACCACCAGGCUUGAGGAUGGCAGGGGUGAUGGGAACUGAUGGUGGAGCGGUGAAAUGCGUUGAUAUCAUCAGGAACACCGGUGGCGAAGGCGCAUCACUGGGCCAUUUCUGACGCUGAGGCACGAAAGCUAGGGUAGCGAACGGGAUUAGAUACCGAGUAGUCC